GCAAAUCAAUAUAAGCUGAAUUAACAUUUAUUUAUUAAUUUUUUUUUUUUAUUUAUUUAAUUAUUAAAAAUAAUUGUAUAGAUUUGUGUUUUAGUAAUUUUUAAUGAAAAAAUAAUUUUUAUUAUAGUGUAGUAUGUAUUGUGAAAGAUUAUUGAAAUAUUUUGAAAAAUUUUUAUUGAAUAAGAAAUUUUUACUUAAUGUACCUUGUGUAUCAGGGUUUAUCUAAUAGUUGAUAAUUAUUUAUUGAUCUCGAUUUUAUAAGAGUUAAUAAUUUAUGAAAGUUAAUGUGUUAGAAUUAUUUUUAAUAAAUUAUUAGAAAUGAAAUGUUAUUCGUUUAUAAAGGUAUCUAGUUUUUUUAGAAAUAAAUUUAAUUUACAAGUUUUUAAUUUUUCUUUUUAUUAUAUUAAAAUAAAAAUUUAUUAAUUUGAAUAUUUUAAGGGAUAAGCUUUAAGAUAAAGCAUUAAAAAUUAAUAAUUAUUAUUUAAAAUGUAUGUGUAGAAUUAGCAAUCAUUGGUAAGUUUGUUAUAAAUUAUUUUAUGAUUUAUAUUAUUUAUUAGGUUUUAAUUUAUUUAUAAAAAUUUUUUUGUUAAUUUUUAAGAAAAGCAAUAAUGGUAAAAUUAGUAUAUAUUUAUUGUUAAGUUUAUUUUUAUGCUAAGUUUAUAUAAAGAACUCGGCAAAUAUGUUAUGCCCGCCUGUUUAACAAAAACAUGUCUUUUUGAGUUAAUUUUAAAGUCUGACCUGCCCAAUGAAUAAUUUUGAAUGGCCGCAGUAUUCUAACUGUGCAAAGGUAGCAUAAUCAUUAGUCUUUUAAUUGAAGGCUGGUAUGAACGGUUGGACGAGGUAUAGGCUGUUUCAUAUAAAUUUAUUAUAGAAUUUUAUAUUUUAGUUAAAAAGCUAAAAUUUUAUUAAAAGACGAGAAGACCCUAUAAAUCUUUAUAUUUUAUGUUAUAUUAAUUUUUUAGAUUAAGUUUAUUUUUUUAAAAUGAAAUAUUUUGUUGGGGUGAUAUUAAAAUUUAAUAAACUUUUAAUUUUAUUGAAUCAUUAAUUUAUGAAUAAUUGAUCCGUUAAUAACGAUUAUAAGAUUAAGUUACUUUAGGGAUAACAGCGUAAUUUUUUUGGAGAGUUCAUAUCGAUAAAAAAGUUUGCGACCUCGAUGUUGGAUUAAGAGAUAAUUUUAGGUGUAGCCGCUUAAAUGUUAAGUCUGUUCGACUUU
rnacentral:rRNA from 1 species